AGAGAGAGACAUGCGCGCAUAUCAAUAAGCGGAGGAAAAGAAACUAACAAGGAUUCCCUUAGUAACGGCGAGUGAAGCGGGAAGAGCUCAAAUUUGAAAUCUUCAAGGUUUUACCUUGACGAAUUGUAGUUUAAAGAAGUGUUUUCUGCUGGAGUUUUGGUAAAAGUUCUUUGGAAUAGGACAUCAUAGAGGGUGAGAAUCCCGUAUUUGACCAUUAUUUUCAGCUUUGUGAUACACUUUCAAAGAGUCGGAUUGUUUGGGAAUGCAGUCCAAAAUGGGUGGUAAAUUUCAUCUAAAGCUAAAUAUUGGCGAGAGACCGAUAGCGAACAAGUACCGUGAGGGAAAGAUGAAAAGAACUUUGAAAAGAGAGUUAAACAGUACGUGAAAUUGUCAAAAGGGAAGCGUUUGACACCAGUGUUGUUUUCUCGAAAAUCAAUUAAAAAUGGCUCGAUUUUGUAUUGUUGAGACCUUAAAAGCUCACUGUACAUUUUUCGUGUCUUUUUUAAUGCACUUUUCGUUUAACAAGUCAACAUCAGUUUCUUUUGUUGUAAAAGGGUCAUUGGAAGGUGGCUUUCUUUUCGGAGAAAGUGUUUAUAGCCUUUGGCCUCUGCAAUCGGAAGAGACUGAGGUCUGCAGCGUAGACUCUUCGGGGUUAGAUACAUUUGUGCUAAGUUAUAGCUUUUUAUAGACAACUUGUUGACUAUAAUUAGUCUUGUAGCUUACUCGCUUAUGCUAUUUUACCUACGCUUAGGAUGUUGAAGAUGUAGCACAUCAU
rnacentral:rRNA from 1 species